rnacentral:rRNA from 1 species
UACGUAGGGUGCGAGCGUUGUCCGGAAUUAUUGGGCGUAAAGAGCUCGUAGGCGGUGUGUCACGUCGGCCGUGAAAACCUGCAGCUUAACUGUGGGCGUGCGGUCGAUACGGGCAUCACUGGAGUUCGGCAGGGGAGACUGGAAUUCCUGGUGUAGCGGUGAAAUGCGCAGAUAUCAGGAGGAACACCGGUGGCUAAGGCGGGUCUCUGGGCCGAUACUGACGCUGAGGAGCGAAAGCGUGGGGAGCAAACAGG